GGACACAGCAAGACCCUGUCUCAAAAAAAAGGAAAAAAAAGAAGAUGACCAUCUUUUACUGCCCAACGACAUCUUUCUACCAAUGUGAACAGAGACUAGCAGCACAGUGAUCACCUGCAGAUAGACCUGGCUUUAUCUGUACAUAACACCAAAAGAAAAAACCUGGAUUCCAGAAGGAAAUAAAGAUUUUCAGUCCCUGCAAGAAUUCUCAAUGUUCUUCACAUAAUUUGGAGAAGAGAGAGACACAGGGGGAAGAUGGCCAUGUGAAGAUGGAGGCAGAGACUGGAGUGAUACAUCCACAAGCUAUGGAAUGCCAAGGUUUGCCAGCCAUUUAUAAGAAGCUAGGAGACAG